rnacentral:rRNA from 1 species
GACGAACGCUGGCGGCGUGCCUAAUGCAUGCAAGUCGCACGGGGUCUUCGGACCCAGUGGCGCACGGCUGAGGAGCACGUGGCUGACCUACCCCGGCGUGGGGGAUAACGGGCCGAAAGGCUCGCUAAUCCCGCAUACGAUCACCCUUCCGAGUGAGGUAAGAUUCGGCGCGCUGGGCGGGGGCCGCGUCCCAUUAGGUUGUUGGUGUGGUAAUGGCGCACCAAGCCGAUGAUGGGUUCCGGGUCUGAGAGGACGACCCGGCAGACUGGGACUGAGACACGGCCCAGACUCCUACGGGGGGCAGCAGCAAGGAAUUUUCGGCAAUGGGCGCAAGCCUGACCGAGCAACGCCGCGUGGAGGAUGACGGCUUUCGGGUUGUAAACUCCUUUUGGGUGGGACGAUAAUGACGGUACCACCCGAAUCAGACCCGGCUAACUACGUGCCAGCCGCCGCGGUAA